AUUGAACGCUGGCGGCAGGCCUAACACAUGCAAGUCGAGCGGAGCGGCGGACGGGUGAGUAAUGCCUAGGAAUCUGCCUGGUAGUGGGGGAUAACGUCCGGCAACGGGCGCUAAUACCGCAUACUAUCAGAUGAGCCUAGGUCGGAGUAGCUAGUUGGUGGGGUAAAGGCCAACCAAGGCGAAGAUCCGUAACUGGUCUGAGAGGAUGAUCAGUCACACGGGAACGGCGACACGGGCCAGACUCCUACGGAAGGCAGCAGUGGGGAAUAUGGGACAAUGGGCAAAAGUCUGAUCCAGCCAUGCCGCGUGUGUGAAGAAGGUCUUCGGAGUGUAAAGCACUUUAAGUUGGGAGGCGUUACCAACAGAAUAAGCACCGGCUAACUUCGUGCCAGCAGCCGCGGUAAUUC
rnacentral:rRNA from 1 species